rnacentral:rRNA from 1 species
AGUGAACGCUGGCGGUAGGCCUAACACAUGCAAGUCGAACGGCAGCACAGUAAGAGCUUGCUCUUACGGGUGGCGAGUGGCGGACGGGUGAGGAAUACGUCGGAAUCUACUUUUUCGUGGGGGAUAACGUAGGGAAACUUACGCUAAUACCGCAUACGGCCUACGGGUGAAAGCAGGGGAUCUUCGGACCUUGCGCGAUUGAAUGAGCCGAUGUCGGAUUAGCUAGUUGGCGGGGUAAAGGCCCACCAAGGCGACGAUCCGUAGCUGGUCUGAGAGGAUGAUCAGCCACACUGGAACUGAGACACGGUCCAGACUCCUACGGGAGGCAGCAGUGGGGAAUAUUGGACAAUGGGCGCAAGCCUGAUCCAGCCAUACCGCGUGGGUGAAGAAGGCCUUCGGGUUGUAAAGCCCUUUUGUUGGGAAAGAAAAGCAGCAGGUUAAUACCCCGCUGUUCUGACGGUACCCAAAGAAUAAGCACCGGCUAACUUCGUG